AUUUGAGCUGUCCUCACAGGUAGGCUGCUUAACGCAUUAGUGGAUGAACUGCAUUCCAAUGUCCACACAAAGACAAUGCAAUAUAAAACUACAAGGAAGAACACAACCAUCUGAAUCACUUCCACGUAGCUGGGCACAUUUGGUUGGUUUUAUUGGAAGUUCAUUUUUUUCCGUCCAGGUGUCACUUCAACAAACACACACAAUCAACCAGCUCAGCUGUCAUCAAUCACAUGAUGGCUGUGUGCAGACUUUUUUUUGGUUUAAAGAAAUAUCGAUUGUGAGGGACGUUACCUAAUACUUUUGUGAAGAACACAACAUAUAACACGUUGAGGAGAAGAUAAAGAAAUUAACUAGAGAGAGGGUGAAACGCAGGGCUUGUUGAAGGUGACCCACAUACAUAUAUAUACGAAGCGGCUGCUGCUGUGAGCGAAAGAUAUCGAACAGCUAAUUGCUAAAAUAAGCGUAUGACCUAGAAAAUUGGCCUUAGUCGGACAUAAGGAAGAGAGUGUAGUAGCCGUAGAAGAGGAUGACGAUGCUUGAGAAGAGGCCAGCCGCACUUGGGACCACGGAGCACAUCGAGAUGGAGAUCUUCGCCUCGGAAGAGUCUCGCGCCGUGGUCUCCGUACAUGAUACCGAGGAGGGCUACUUCGGCUACUAUAGGCACCUAGAGCAUCCUCUGGUGUCCGUUUCUGAAGAGGAGUACCUAGAGGCCCAGGUCCAGAGCCCAGCUGAACAGCAAUUCAAGCUGAAGAGAGUGCUUUCUGUCGGGACAGAGGACUUGGAUGACUGCCCCCUGAUUCCAGACUUAAAGGAGGACAUGGAGAUUGAAAUGGAGGAAUUCCCUCCCUUCAACACGCCCGAGAGUGAGCAAGUAUUAAAAACAUCAGCCCUCCCUUCCUUCAAAACACUAACACAGUGGGCCCCGGAAUGUGCCCUGGAUGAGUUCUAAUGGUUGUGAUUCAUUAUUUAAGUUUGAACUGUUUGUCAAAGGGAUACUUCACCGUUACAGAACCGGCGUUGUAUCAUUAUAAAAUUG
rnacentral:lncRNA from 1 species